AUACUGCUGGCCUUGGGACCGGGAGAGGCGGGGGGUACCCCUGGGGUAGGGGUGAAAUCCUAUAAUCCCAGGGGGACCGCCAGUGGCGAAGGCGCCCCGCUGGAACGGGUCCGACGGUGAGGGACGAAGGCCAGGGGAGCGAACCGGAUUAGAUACCCGGGUAGUCCUGGCUGUAAAGGAUGCGGGCUAGGUGUCGGGCGAGCUUCGAGCUCGCCCGGUGCCGAAGGGAAGCCGUUAAGCCCGCCGCCUGGGGAGUACGGCCGCAAGGCUGAAACUUAAAGGAAUUGGCGGGGGAGCACUACAAGGGGUGGAGCGUGCGGUUUAAUUGGAUUCAACGCCGGGAACCUCACCGGGGGCGACGGCAGGAUGAAGGCCAGGCUGAAGGUCUUGCCGGACGCGCCGAGAGGAGGUGCAUGGCCGCCGUCAGCUCGUACCGUGAGGCGUCCACUUAAGUGUGGUAACGAGCGAGACCCGCGCCCCCAGUUGCCAGUCCUCCCCGUUGGGGAGGAGGCACUCUGGGGGGACCGCCGGCGAUAAGCCGGAGGAAGGAGCGGGCGACGGUAGGUCAGUAUGCCCCGAAACCCCCGGGCUACACGCGCGCUACAAUGAGCGGGACAAUGGGAUCCGACCCCGAAAGGGGAAGGGAAUCCUCUAAACCCGCUCCCAGUUCGGAUCGCGGGCUGCAACUCGCCCGCGUGAAGCUGGAAUCCCUAGUACCCGCGUGUCAU
rnacentral:rRNA from 1 species